rnacentral:rRNA from 1 species
AGCAGCCGCGGUAAUUCCAGCUCCAAUAGCGUAUAUUAAAGUUGUUGCAGUUAAAAAGCUCGUAGUUGAAUUUCAGGCCUGGCUGGGCGGUCCGCCCUUCGGGUGAGUACUGCCUGUGGUCGGGUCCUACCUUCUGGCGAAGCGUCAUGGCCUUAACCGGCCGUGGCGGGGAACCAGGACUUUUACUGUGAAAAAUUAGAGUGUUCAAAGCAGGCAAUCGCUUGGAUACAUUAGCAUGGAAUAAUGGAAUAGGACAGUGGUUCUAUUUGUUGGUUUCUAGGACCGUUGUAAUGAUUAAUAGGGAUAGUUGGGGGCAUUAGUAUUCAAUUGUCAGAGGUGGAAUUCUUGGAUUUAUUGAAGACUAACUACUGCGAAAGCAUUUGCCAAGGAUGUUUUCAUUAAUCAAGAACGAAAGUUAGGGGAUCGAAGACGAUCAGAUACCGUCGUAGU